rnacentral:rRNA from 1 species
AAACUAGGAUUAGAUACCCUAUUAUUCGAGAACUUUAAGUUGGUAGUAUUUUUUAAUUUUUGAAAUCUAAAGAUUAUGGCGGUAUUUUAAGCUAUUUAGAGGAAUUUACUCUUUAAUGGAUAAGGCUCAGGGAUCUUACUUGGAUUUGUAGCAGUUUGUAUAUCGCUAUCAUGGAAUAAGUCUUGAUUAAUUAAUAAUUGGAAUUAUUUAUUUUGUAAGAAUGUUAGGUCAAAAUGCAGCAAAAAUUUAAGGUUGAAAUGAAUUACUUUUAUUUAUAUAUGUGUUUGAGAAAAUAGGGUAAUUAGGAUUUAAAAGUAAAUUUAAAUUAUAAUGUUUAGUUGAAUUUAGCUCUAAAAUAUGCACAUAUCGCCCGUCACUCUCAGAUAGAGAUAAGUCGUAACAUAG